AUGGUGGGGGUGAUCUCCUGUUGACCAAUGUUCGAGGAGCAUCCUCCUUUCCAAGACCACCUCCCAUAAAUCCAACUCCGCCCCAGGACAGAGCCAGCCUUCCUGAGGAA